GACGAACGCUGGCGGCGUGCUUAACACAUGCAAGUCGAACGGAAAGGCCCUGCUUGCAGGGUACUCGAGUGGCGAACGGGUGAGUAACACGUGGGUGAUCUGCCCUGCACUUCGGGAUAAGCCUGGGAAACUGGGUCUAAUACCGGAUAGGAGCCAUUUUUAGUGUGAUGGUUGGAAAGUUUUUUCGGUGUAGGAUGAGCUCGCGGCCUAUCAGCUUGUUGGUGGGGUAAUGGCCUACCAAGGCGGCGACGGGUAGCCGGCCUGAGAGGGUGGACGGCCACAAUGGGACUGAGAUAAGGCCCAGACUCCGACGGGAGGGAACAGGGGGGAAGAUUGCACAAUGGGGGCAAAGCUGGUUGAGCGACGCCGCGGUGGGGAUGACGGGCUUAGGGUUGUAAACCUCCUUUGGAAGGGACGAAGCCUUUUGUGACGGUACCUAGAUAAGAAGCACCGGCUAACUACGUG
rnacentral:rRNA from 1 species